rnacentral:misc_RNA from 1 species
ACACACACACACACACACAUUCUGUGAGUGAACUGCAGGAAUAUCUACAUUUAAAACAUUUAUAUGUUUGGCUUGUAUGAUUGAAGUUGGAUAUAAAAUUAAUACAGAAGGAAGGGGAUCCAGGUGAUAGUUUAACUUCUGUUGCAGUCUUUCUUGCCUAAAAGCCAUUAGCUUUCAAUAAUAGGUAGAUACUAAAAAAACUUAGCUGCUUGAUGACACCAUGAUCUGUCUUAAGAAAGGAAAAGUCUAGUAACAAUUUUAUAAUAAAAUUUGAAGUUUUUGUAAAUCAAUCUUGAAAUUUUCAAGGGCAAGAUGGUAAUUCAAGGACAAUAGCUGUGGGAUCCUAUCUAUGUCAACUUUAAGUUAUUAGUACCGUAUAUGGUAUUGAGUUUCAAAGCAAUUCACUGCAGUUCAAGUUGAAAUAAUAAUCAUCACUGCUAGUGUUUCAUGAAAACCUUUUCUGAAAUUGGAUUUAUGUUAGGAGCCUUUAAACAGCAUCUGAUCAUAACCAUGAUAACAUUGAAGUCAGUAUGCUUGCUGUAGGAAUUGUGUGAUUUCAUAAGGGAAACAUUAAGCUUGAUGUGUGAUAAGUCUGUUCUGCACAAUUGCUUACUUAUGUUGGAAAAUUUGUUGGGCUUGAAUUCUGAAAAGUUCUGUUUCAUAAUUGCUUACUUAUGUUGGAGUUACUUUUUUCUUUUUGGCUUCUAUAUGUUAACUCAACAUGCCAAGACUUUGAGUAGGUUUUAUAUUUGCUUUGUCUAACUUUUGAGUAGUUUAUACUUUUUUUGCAGUAGUUUUACUUUAUACUUGCUUUGUGACCUUUGAAUUCCAAAGUAUGCUUUUAUCUAAAAAUUCUUGUUUAUUUCAUUCAUGUCAUUCUUCCAUGUGAGUUGGUUGAGGAUUCCUUCAUUUAAAGGCAUAAUUACAAAAAAAAGCCAAACUUUUUUGCAUUUUUACAGUCUAAUCCAAACGUUUAAAUCUUGCAAAAAAUUGCUCAACUCAACUAAACUUUUAUCUCAA